rnacentral:rRNA from 1 species
GGCCAGCAGCCGCGGUAAAACGUAGGUGGCAAGCGUUAUCCGGAUUUACUGGGCGUAAAGCGUGUGCAGACGGAGCGUCAAGUGGUGUAUGAAAUCGCUCGGCUCAACCGGGCGCGGUUAUGCCAGACUGGCGUUCUAGAGACAGAGAGAGGGACGUGGAAUUCCGGGUGUAGUGGUGAAAUGCGUAGAGAUCCGGAGGAACCCCUGAGGCGAAGGCGGCGUCCUGGCUCUGGUCUGACGUUCAGACACGACAGCAUGGGGAGCGAACGGGAUUAGAAACCCCGGUAGUCCAUGCCGUAAACGAUGACAACUAGGCGCUGAGGGACUCAACCCCCGCGGUGCCGCAGCCAACGCGAUAAGUUGUCCGCCUGGGGAGUACGGUCGCAAGGCUAAAACUCAAAGGAAUUGACGGGGGCCCGCACAAGG